UACGAAGGGGGCUAGCGUUGCUCGGAAUCACUGGGCGUAAAGGGCGCGUAGGCGGCCGAUCAAGUCAGGGGUGAAAGCCUGUGGCUCAACCACAGAAUUGCCUUUGAUACUGUUCGGCUCGAGACCGGAAGAGGUAAGUGGAACUGCGAGUGUAGAGGUGAAAUUCGUAGAUAUUCGCAAGAACACCUGUGGCGAAGGCGGCCCCCUGGGCCGGCCCUGACACUGAGACGCGAAGGCGUGGGGAGCGAACGGG
rnacentral:rRNA from 1 species